rnacentral:lncRNA from 1 species
CAGGAAGCCUCGCUUCCUGUCCUGAUCAGUUUGAGGACUGCCUGCAGAAAUGCAGACUCAGCAAAGCGGGGCUCACCGCAGGGAGAGCCUGCCAAAGGUCAGAGAACUCAAGGCAAAGGCGGCCCCACAGAGGAGCCUGUGCAUAGCCAUACACUAACUCAUGGAACAUACCUGACUGGCAGAGAGAAGGGAAGGUGCUGGAAGCAGGACUGAAAAGCAAAAGCAACAUGGGAGAACCUGGAGGGCGUUACGAGCGAGAGAGGAACACAAGCAGGGAAGUGGGAGAGGAAGAAGCAGGCUUCCCGCAGAGCAGGGACCCGGAUGUGAGGCUUGAUCCCAGGAUCUUGGUGGAAGGCAGACACUUAACGACUGAGCCUCCCAGAUGCCCCAAGAUUUUAUUUUUAAAUAAUCUGUACACCCACUGUGGGG